ACGGAAGGCAGCAGUGGGGAAUAUUGCACAAUGGGGGAAACCCUGAUGCAGCGACGCCGCGUGAGCGAAGAAGUAUUUCGGUAUGUAAAGCUCUAUCAGCAGGGAAGAUAAUGACGGUACCUGACUAAGAAGCCCCGGCUAACUACGUGCCAGCAGCCGCGGUAAUACGUAGGGGGCAAGCGUUAUCCGGAUUUACUGGGUGUAAAGGGAGCGUAGACGGCAAGGCAAGUCUGAUGUGAAAACCCAGGGCUUAACCCUGGGACUGCAUUGGAAACUGUCUGGCUCGAGUGCCGGAGAGGUAAGCGGAAUUCCUAGUGUAGCGGUGAAAUGCGUAGAUAUUAGGAAGAACACCAGUGGCGAAGGCGGCUUACUGGACGGUAACUGACGUUGAGGCUCGAAAGCGUGGGGAGCAAACAGGAUUAGAUACCCUGGUA
rnacentral:rRNA from 1 species